CACGGAAAUAUUUUAUUUAUAAUAUAUGAAAUUACGAACCACUAGAUGGAGGCACUUACAGAAUAUUUUUACCCUUUUAAAAAUAAUUUUAAAAAAAUGACAUUGUGCAGGAUACGUAUUUCUUAGUAAAUCUGUAGGUGAGUGAGACAUCUUUUAUAGAAAUUGUUUAAAUUAAUGAUUAUAGAAAAUGUAUUAAAGAUAAAAGAGAUCAAAUGGAGGAGGUUCGGCAGUUCUUCCUCUCGUGGACCUAUCAUAACUGUGAGAGUUUCUGUUAACGUUACCUUUAUAUCCUGAUCGUCCAUUACCGGAGAAUCUUUCGUCCAUACACUCCCUGCAAGGAUCAUUGCUUCCAAGUCGUUUCUGUAAAUUUAAUGAAAGUCGUCGCGAAACCUUUCUCCCUCGUCCCUCUCUCCUCCCUCCAGACAGUAAUAUUGAUUACCCUCUUCUCCUCCCAUCUCGAGUAAUUACACCUUCCCUCCCCUCCCAGACUUAUUGACUGCUCCGCUUUUUUUGUCUUUUUUUUUUUCCUCCUUUGACACUCGGUGCACCAUAGCGCCCGGGGAAGCACCGAUUCACGACAUAAACAUUGUUUUGAGGUAACCUGAUGAGAGUUUUACCUAUCUGGAAUAGUAGAUGCAACGAAAAGGAUUACAUUGAUAGUUGAAAUUUUUGAAGUACAUAUUUUCCGUUGGAAUGUUGGUUUGUUUCAAUUUUUCAAUUAGAAACUAUUAGUCCAUGAUAUAUUAAACCCCUACAAAAAUAGGAACAGUAACAAUUGCAGGAUUGAUCUAUUCAAUAAGGGGGUUUAUUUAUCUUGUAAACAAAGAAUUUAUCUAAACGAGUUUAUCGUAAGGCGAGAUAUAGGUGUACCGGCUCCCUCUCUUUCUUGUUUAUUUACUGCAUUUUAAAGUUAUUCUCGGCGUAAUGAGGCCAAUAAUAAGUUAUGUGUCGUAAAAGUGUUGGUGCAAGAAUCGUCGACAUAAUUAGGAAUGCUUAACAGUGACUAUAGAUUAACAAUUAUAGCUUCCAAAAGCCAAAAGUGGAAAAAGGUAAAGAUGCUAUAAAAAGAUGAGGCAUUGUUCGAUUUAGUUUCUUACACCAAAGUAACGUGAACAGUAAAGCGGUUUUACGACAUCCGUAAAGGUCCGAAUACCUGGCUGCAACAUCACAACUAUCCUGAUCUUAUAGGAAAAGCUAUUAUACUAUAAAGCUGUAACAUGGCGUCGAAUUGUUCGAAACACUUCUUUGUAAUGGAGAUCCUGUAUGACGAAUAUUGAAUACGUAAUCUUCUUGCAUGCACUGCUAUAUAACAAAGAAGGAGAUAACACCAAGCUGGGAGGAUUGGGAGGGGGUCGAACGGUGUUGCACUUGUUUGGAGAAUGCCAAAAUGCGAUUACGACACUCCGGAAGUGUAAGAGGGGGACGACGUAUCGGUAUCUUUACCCCGAAGUCGUGUUCGCCAAAUAAACCGCUGAAACCCGUAAAGAGAAGCAUAAGUUGGGAAGAGCGAAAAAAAUCUGCACUAACCGUGAAUAUUUUACUUUUUCGAAUGAAAUUUGCAAACUUCAUUGCGACUUUAAACAGUUUUUUGCAUUUCCGAGAAAUUUUAAAUUUUGAUUUUAAUGAUCACUAUUUUCAUAAUUUUCUGAAGAUAUUUUAAAAAAUUUUAAGGCUGAAUUAUUCGAAUAUCUGUUUAGUUUUAACCAUUUAAUAAAUAUAAAUAGAGAAAUGAUGAGAUUUAGUUAUUUAUUUAUUUUAAACACUCGAUAUAUCUCGACGACCUAUAACGAACUCAACUAUGGUGAACCUAGGUAUUUGAUAAUGAGCUAAAUUAAUAAGGCUGAAGUUCAUGACCUUAGCUUCCGUCAACCAGUUCGUAAGAAUCAAUACGAGUCUUCUAAAUAAUACCCUGAGAGAAAGGACGUUAAAAGACAAGAGAGUUAAUAGAGAGAGAGAGAGACCUUCGAUCGCUUCAACCUGAAAAACUGCCAUGUACAUUGGGCCAUGUGGCAUUAUCUGUGCCUGUUUAAUGUAGGAAAUAAAUAUGUAUGUAAACACACGGAUAUUAGCAUAAUGUGAAAUGAAUGAGGAGUCACUCUAACCCCUGAUUAUGCGGUUGGUGUUAGGGGGUUCCCCUCUAAGCUCGGAUUGAACGGUCUCUUUAUAUUUAUCUCCUUUUAGUAAGAUCUUUAUCUUCGCCAAUAACUCUGCUUCUUUUUUCUGCUAUCCUUAAACCACUUCAUGAGUUGAAUUGUUAACACAUUUUUUAUUUUAAAUCAACGCCUGUUUUAAAAUUUUAAUUUUCUGUCUUACUAAAUUUACUCUUUGCAUAUGAUAAACAUUUUAAAAUUGAUUAAUUAUA
rnacentral:lncRNA from 1 species